rnacentral:lncRNA from 1 species
AUGCCUGGCAAUCAGCACCUCUGGCAUCACAAAGAUACCCGUGGUUGCCAAGGGAGAGUCCAGGGGGCUCUCAGCGAGUGGAAGUGCCCUCUGGUGGUAGCCUGGAGCAUGUGCAGCUUCAUCCUGUGCCCUGCUUCUGUCAGUGGGUCCUGCAGAUGAAUGACUGUAUGAAUGAAUGAAUGGAGAAGGAAGGAGGGAGGAAAGGAAGGAUGAUUCUGACUCCGGAGGGUGGAACGUGGAGGGCAGGGCCAGCUGACCAACUAGGAUCCAGAGCCUAGCACUGAUGUCCCUUCCUCAGGACCAAGUCCUCAAGAAUCUCUCCUCACAGCAUAACAUCCUCUCUUCUGUAGAGUCACUCAAUUCACCACCUGAAGAAGACAUUGAGACAAGCUCCCAGACCUGCUCAGCACAUAUGGGAAUGGAGACCUCAGUGACAAUAGGAGAGCCCCUUCCCCAGUCCAUCAGAGAAUUCAGGGCUCAGAGGAAUCCAGUGAAAACCCUCAUCAAGGCCCCAGGUAUUUGAAUCUUCUGGGUUCUCAAACAAAAGGGAUUUGCCUUUAAACCAUCCUGCAGUUCUCCUUUCUUUCUUUCCCCUCCCUUCAGGAAGAACUCAUGAUAAUUUGAGAAGAUGUGCACCAAGGACCAGCAGGUGUGCAGGAAGUUGCACAUGGAAGUCACCUGGGGCCUGGAGAUCUGGAAAGAGGGGAGGGAGAAAAAGGAGGGGAACAUCCUGAGGGGAUCCCAGGAGGUGAGGCCUAUGGCAAGGCCAUGGGCCCAGCCUGGGGGUCAGAAACUCUGUGGGGGUGGGGCAGGCAGGAACCACUGACCAUGCCCCAGGACUCCUUGACACUCUCCAUCCAGCGCUUGCCCAAGCUGGGUGCCUGGACACACCCU